rnacentral:rRNA from 1 species
CAUUGGCGGGUUCUUACCAUGCAGUCGACGAUGAAGUGGAGCUUGCUCCACGGAUUAGUGGCGAACGGGUGAGGAACACGUGAGAAACCUGCCUCGGAUUUUGGGAUAACAAAUGGAAACGUUUGCUAAUACCAAAUAACGUCGGAGAGUCACAUGACUUUCUGACGAAAGGAAUUCCGAUUCGAGAGGGUCUCGCGGCCUAUCAGCUUGUUGGCGGGGUAAUGGCCCACCAAGGCAACGACGGGUAGCUGGUCUGAGAGGAUGGUCAGCCACACUGGGACUGAGACACGGCCCAGACUCCUACGGGAGGCAGCAGUGGGGAAUCUUGCGCAAUGGGCGAAAGCCUGACGCAGCAACGCCGCGUGCGGGAAGAAGGCUUUCGGGCUGUAAACCGCUUUCAGCAGGAACGAAAAUGACGGUACCUGCAGAAGAAGGAGCGGCCAACUAUGUGCCAGCAGCCGCGGUGAUACAUAGGCUUCAAGCGUUGUCCGGAUUUAUUGGGCGUAAAGAGUUCGUAGGCGGUCGAGUAAGUCGGGUGUGAAAAUUCUGGGCUCAACCCAGAGACGCCACCCGAUACUGCUUAACUUGAGUUCGAUAGGGGAGUGGGGAAUUCCUAGUGUAGCGGUGAAAUGCGCAGAUAUUAGGAGGAACACCGGUGGCGAAGGCGCCACUCUGGAUCGACACUGACGCUGAGGAACGAAAGCAUGGGUAGCAAACAGGAUUAGAUACCCUGGUAGUCCAUGCGGUAAACGGUGGGCACUAGGUGUGGGUUUCUAUUAACGAAAUCCGCGCCGUCGCUAACGCAUUAAGUGCCCCGCCUGGGGAGUACGGUCGCAAGACUAAAACUCAAAGGAAUUGACGG